AAAAUCCAUGUGGGACGGCCCCGGGGCGAGCAUCGCAAAAGAUCUCUGAUUGGAGUCAUUUUCUGGUACAGACUGUGAAAAGAACGCAGUGAAAGUCCUGGUCAACAGUGGAAAUACUGACUUAAACCCCAACUUAGUAUAGCAUUUCUUCUCUUCAGUAGCGCCUCAUAAUAGAAGAAAAAUGUAUGGAAGUGCAAGAACAAUCACCAAUCUGGAAGGCAGCCCUUCCAGAUCACCUCGUCUGCCAAGGUCUCCUCGUUUGGGCCACAGAAGAACGAGUAGUGGGGGAGGGGGAGGAACAGGCAAGACCCUGUCUAUGGAGAAUAUCCAGUCCCUUAAUGCAGCCUAUGCUACGUCUGGACCCAUGUACCUGAGUGAUCAUGAGGGGGUGGCUUCCACAACAUACCCAAAGGGCACCAUGACUCUGGGCAGGGCCACUAAUCGAGCUGUAUAUGGAGGCCGGGUCACAGCCAUGGGGAGUAGUCCCAAUAUUGCUUCCGCAGGACUUUCCCACACAGAUGUCCUUUCAUACACUGAUCAACAUGGUGGCCUGAGUGGCUCAUCCCAUCACCACCACCACCAGGUCCCCUCCAUGUUGAGGCAGGUAAGAGAUAGCACAAUGUUAGACCUUCAGGCCCAGCUCAAGGAACUCCAGAGAGAGAAUGAUCUCCUUCGGAAAGAGCUGGACAUCAAGGACAGCAAGCUGGGAUCUUCCAUGAACAGCAUCAAGACCUUCUGGAGUCCUGAGCUUAAGAAGGAAAGAGUCCUGAGGAAGGAAGAGGCAGCCCGGAUGUCUGUCCUUAAGGAGCAGAUGAGGGUUUCCCAUGAAGAAAAUCAGUUACUGGAUGCCAGAAGAACCAAGCACCUGCAGUUGACAAUCCAGGCUCUUCAGGAUGAGCUGCGAACCCAGAGAGACCUCAACCACCUCCUGCAGCAGGAGAGUGGCAACCGUGGAGCGGAGCACUUCACCAUUGAGCUGACGGAGGAGAACUUCAGGAGGCUCCAGGCUGAGCAUGAUAGACAGGCCAAGGAGCUCUUCCUGCUGAGGAAGACCCUGGAGGAAAUGGAGCUAAGAAUCGAGACACAGAAACAGACCCUCAAUGCCCGAGAUGAAUCGAUCAAAAAGCUCCUGGAGAUGUUGCAAAGUAAAGGUUUACCAUCCAAAAGCCUUGAGGAUGACAACGAGCGGACGCGCCGGAUGGCAGAGGCUGAAUCUCAGGUCAGCCACUUGGAAGUAAUUUUAGACCAGAAAGAGAAGGAAAACAUUCAUCUGAGAGAGGAAUUACAUCGAAGAAGCCAACUUCAGCCGGAGCCAGCCAAGACGAAGGCUCUCCAGACUGUCAUUGAAAUGAAGGACACAAAAAUCGCUUCAUUGGAGCGAAACAUAAGGGAUCUUGAGGAUGAGAUCCAGAUGUUAAAAGCCAAUGGUGUGCUGAACACUGAGGACCGUGAAGAAGAGAUCAAACAAAUAGAGGUUUACAAAAGUCACUCCAAGUUUAUGAAGACCAAGAUUGAUCAACUGAAGCAGGAACUUUCAAAGAAGGAGUCAGAACUUCUUGCCUUACAAACAAAGCUUGAAACCCUUAGCAAUCAAAAUUCAGAUUGCAAGCAACACAUUGAAGUGCUUAAAGAGUCGCUUACUGCCAAAGAACAAAGGGCUGCCAUUCUUCAGACUGAGGUAGAUGCACUGAGAUUACGACUGGAAGAAAAAGAAUCUUUUCUCAAUAAAAAAACAAAACAAUUGCAGGACCUCACAGAAGAGAAGGGAACACUGGCUGGAGAGAUUCGUGACAUGAAAGAUAUGUUAGAAGUGAAGGAAAGAAAAAUUAAUGUUCUUCAGAAAAAGAUUGAAAACUUGCAAGAACAACUUAGGGAUAAAGACAAGCAACUGACCAAUCUGAAAGACAGAGUGAAGUCCUUGCAGACGGAUUCCAGUAACACAGAUACUGCGCUGGCGACACUAGAGGAAGCUCUGUCAGAGAAGGAGAGAAUAAUUGAGCGUUUGAAAGAACAACGGGAGAGAGAUGAUCGGGAAAGACUAGAAGAGAUAGAAUCUUUCCGCAAAGAGAACAAGGACCUAAAAGAAAAGGUCAAUGCUUUACAAGCUGAACUCACAGAAAAAGAGUCUAGUUUAAUUGACCUCAAAGAACAUGCAUCUUCAUUAGCUUCUGCAGGACUGAAAAGGGACUCCAAAUUAAAAUCUCUAGAAAUAGCCAUCGAACAAAAGAAAGAGGAAUGUAGCAAACUGGAAGCCCAGUUAAAAAAGCAAGCUGAGCAGUUGUUCAAUCAGAUGUACAACCCAGCACAUAAUAUUGAAGAUGACUCCAGGAUGAACCCUGAGUUUGCAGACCGACUAAAACAGCUUGAUAAAGAGGCAUCUUACUACCGUGAUGAGUGUGGCAAGGCCCAAGCCGAAGUGGACCGGUUGCUGGAGAUCCUCAAAGAGGUGGAAAAUGAAAAGAAUGACAAGGACAAGAAGAUCGCAGAACUUGAGAGCUUGACUUUCAGGCAUAUGAAGGAUCAGAAUAAGAAGGUAGCCAACCUCAAACACAAUCAACAGCUGGAAAAGAAGAAGAAUGCCCAGUUAUUGGAAGAAGUUCGCAGGCGAGAAGAUAGCAUGGCUGACAACUCACAGCAUUUGCAGAUAGAGGAACUGAUGAAUGCCUUGGAGAAGACCAGGCAAGAACUGGAUGCCACCAAAGCCCGCCUUGCCUCUACACAGCAGUCCCUGGCUGAGAAAGAAGCACACUUGGCCAACCUGCGGAUAGAGAGGAGGAAACAGCUGGAGGAGAUCCUGGAGAUGAAACAGGAAGCACUACUUGCAGCAAUCAGUGAGAAAGAUGCAAAUAUUGCUUUGCUGGAAUUGUCUGCCUCCAAAAAGAAAAAGACGCAAGAGGAAGUCAUGGCUCUCAAGAGGGAGAAAGACCGACUAGUGCAUCAGUUAAAGCAGCAGGUUUAUAGACCUAAGAAACAUCCCCUGAGCUCGAAUAUACCAUGCCCUUGUGAUGCUGGCUACAGCCCAGAUAUUACGGCCAAGUACCACGGGUCCAGCUACGAUGCAUACGUGAGCCAAAGGUCUCAGACCCAGAACAGAAUGAAGCUGAUGGCAGACAACUACGAUGAAGACCAUCACCAUUACCACCACCACCACCACCACCACCACCAUCGAUCUCCUGGGAGGUCGCAACAUUCCAAUCACAGGCCCUCUCCGGACCAGGAUGACGAGGAGGGCAUAUGGGCAUAGCCGGGCCUGUAAACCAAAGUUCCAGUUUUGUUUUGAGGGAUGAUCCAGCUCUGUCGGAGGCACGUAGGCACAGCCAAAUCUCAUGCUGUACAUUGAUCACCUGUCCAACCUUUGCCUAGAGUGGGAGCCCCCAGUUCCUUCAAGAGAUCCAACUUUACCUGUCUGUAAAGAAGAAGAGGAGGAGGGAGACAGCGGGGAGGAUCCGGUGGCAGUUUAACAGCAGAGCAGGUCCAAUGUUUACUUUUACCCUUUUGGAGCUAUCAGAAGGGCUGAACCCAGGGGAAGUGCAGCUCUGCGGCAAUAUUCUGACACUCCUUUGCAGUGGGCUCAUGUCACUGUCCUCCACCACCACCGGGAGCGGCUCAGCAGAACCAAAGGGGAGUUUUCACUUUCAUUCUCCAGUGCAGUUUUGUUCGACUUGGUAUUUCCUUCAUCCUCUCAUGUCUUUUCUCAUGGAUUUGGAUUGGAAAGGAAGAAUACACAGAUGGAGAAAAAUGACACAUCCUCCAUUUUAUGUUGGGAUUUGGACAUUGAACAUGGGACCAUCUCUUCUGAAUGCAUUUAUUUGAUAGCAUUUUAUUUCUGUUACUUACCUUCAUUGGAUAUGUUGGAACUCCAUGGGAUUUUAAGUAUGGAUUCAACUUCUGUUGGACCGCUAGCUUCAUCUCCAGUUAUCCUGCUGGUUCCGUCUCAGUGGUCAUUCCUAAUGCAUUAGAUUACCAACCAGUGUACAUUUGUCGCGCGCGAGUGAGUGGUGUUGGUGGUGUUGUCAACCACGGUGCAAGGAGCAUUUGACAAAGAAACCAAAACACCAAAAAGGGCGAGCCUUUACCCUCCUCUGUUUCUUUAAUCCGCUGUUCGAAGAACCGUGUUUUUGAUGGUACAAACCAGUAGUUACCUCUGGGCCAGGUUGGAAAUGAUAUCAAUUUUUUAAACCACUAAUACUUGCCAAGAAAUCGCCUUAUGAGAAUAUGGUGUGUGUCUCUGACAAUGCAUGGCACAUCUAAAUUGUUCAUUCAUGAUUUUCUUUCCCUGCUUAGGUAUUGGAAGUGGCAACAGCCUGAGGCGCCUGCAUAUCAACUCCUUGUGUUCCCUGCAUCCCAGGGCUGGGAUUGAUCCAGCCUCAGGCUGUUACCAUUCCCGUACUCCCAGGUCUCCAUGAAGAAGCUGGGACGCCUUCACACUUCAAGAUCCAAAAGCUGUGCAAACAGUGUAAGCUUAGAUCUUCUAGACAGGAAGGGUCAUUUCUCAUUUUUUUUUUUAAAUGUCUGCAACAUGGAUUCCAAAGCAUUUUCAGCAUCAAACACAAAAACAUUGAUGAAUGAGGAAUAAUCCCCAAAGCUGUGUAUCUGUAUAUAGCCUGACACAACACGUAUGUGGAUACAGAGUCAUUAUUUAAAGCACAUGCCAGGGAAAGAGACCCAAUUUCAAGGUCUUUUACAUAUAGUGACAUGGUACUAAGGAGAAUUCAACUCCUACUGCUUCCUCUGAAGAUGAAAACAAAAAAAUUAAAGUUGUAGUAACUUCGUAAAACUCACGACUGAGUCUGGCAAAACACGUGCAACUCUUGUAUUGAUCCAUUUUCUUGUCGAUGGAAGAAAUCCUUCCACGUGGAUGCAAGUGGGAGAUGAAAACCUGCAUUUUUAAAGGACAAACAGUGAAUUUAAGCAUGAGUGGCCUUAAUAAAUAUAGUUGUCUUUUUUUUGCUGCUGUGGAAAGGAUUCUAAACAGAUGUUCCUGAAGUCCUGCAUUGAAUUUAGUCAUUAUUACUUUUUAAAAUGUUGGUGCAAUUAACUCUGGACCUCUCUCGUGAGCCAUAGAGAUAUUAAAAGACAAACUUCUUAUUUGUUGGGGAAGAUAAAACCAUCUCUAAGCUGCACCCUUCCCUCUCGGUGCAUCAGGAGUCAUAUAUUCAAGCUGGUUUCUUGCUUCUGGCUUUGUUCUUGUCGUCAGGAUAGCAAACUAUGUAAAAGCUUUCGUGUUGCAUAAACAAUCCAAAUACAUUCAUGUUUAAAAAGUUUGUCCUUUAACUAUUCAAGGGAUCUAGGUCUCGGUUGGAGGAGUGAGCAGAGUUCUUUGCAAGCUUAUUUAGUACAUUUUGACAUGAUGUCGCACUGAAACCACAGGCCACAGACACAUCCCCAUGAACAGUUUGUCCUCACUGCCUCCUGUAACCAGGUCCUGGCCUAAACUCUGCAACUAAAUACUUGAAGUAGGAAGUACGAAAUCCAGUAGGGAAAGUAGGGUCCUUAAAAUAGGGAAAAAAAAUUUUUUUAAAUACAAAUAAAUACACUUGACCAUAAUAGUUAGCUAUUUCUAUAUCCGUGCCAAUUUUGUCACAGAUAUUGUUUGGGGGAUCAUUUUGACCCUACUUUUGUUGGUUGAAAGUAUGAUUGACCUUACCUAUAUGCAAGCAUCUAAUUUAGUCUCUUAAAAUUAAAUUCUAUCUACAGUAUCUUUUUCUCAUUUCAUGUCAUAUUCUCUAAUGUUUGGGGGUUACACACACAUGAAAAAAUCCCUUUCACACAUUGAAAAUAGCCUCUGGGUUUACAACAAACACUGUGAAGUUGGGAAGCUAUUUCCUUUGCACAAACUUUAGCAAGUUCCCUUCUAAUCAUAAUGCAGUUGGAAAAAAAAAAGUUUGGGCUAACAUUUAGGAAAAGUUGGUCUAAGUCUUUCUGUGGGCAGACGCAGGCUUGUAAUUUCUACCCCAUUUGAUUUCUAUGUACAGUCUCAAUUUUGUAUUUAAUGAUUUUUGUGUAUCCAGUGUGCACGUUAACAGCGUGUCGACUUCCAUUUGAGAGUGGGUUUUACUUUUUAAACAGUGUUUCUGAUGAGACCUCAAACGUGUUGACAUCAGCUCUCUCUGCGACGUUUUUUUUUUUGUGUAGAGUGGCGUUUGAAUGCUGCCAGGGGUCAGUGUAUCUACUUCCCUGAGACCCUCGUUUGAUAGUGCUUCUUGUAAUAUUUCUUCAAGUGAGUGGCAUGUGGGUUGUGAUAUUGACCAUGUGAUUAUGGACAUCGAUAUGAAAAAAAUAAAAAUAAAAAUAAGGAACCCUGGAAACUACCAGUGGGCAUGUAUUAGCCAGUCAUUGUAACCUUGUGUCUAGUAGAAGUACAAUGUACAAGGUAUGUACAGUUCAUAAAUUUGUUAUCAUGUGUAUGAGAAGUACUUUGUGCUGAUCGCCUUAUUUAUAUUCAUCAAAUAAACCUUGUUUUCUUUCUGAA